AUUCUGCACGUUGAUGCUUGUUGUUGCUCCGUGAAAUGUACACAGAGACAUAUUGUAACAUUUAAACUAAACUAAAUAACACUGUGUUUCUCCAUGUCUGACAGAGCUUCACCACUCAUACACAUAGUGGUCGAGACGGAGUCGAUCACGGAGUCCAAGAUAUUCGUGUACCCGCAGCUCCUGGAGCCAUGCACGGUCCUGAUGGAUGAUUGUAUAGCCCUGUCCCCUCCUCCUCUUCCAUCUGUGAGUUGUACACAGGAAAUAAGUCAGUGUAAGAACAUGGAGGACAUAGUCUAUCCCCCAGAAAUGUAUCCAAAUGGACAACAUGUCUCAGAGCAUGAAGCUGUCAGAGAUCCUUCAGAACACAGCACAAUCACUGACUCUGUGUUUACAUCCAUGGAUGAUAACAGGUCUGAAUCAUUUGACUGGAGUGAUGGAUCCAUGAGGAGUGACAGUUCAAAAGGUCAAGUUGUUGACUUUAAAGGAUCAGAUCCUGAGAGGUGA
rnacentral:lncRNA from 1 species